AUGUGUGUGUGUGUUUUACUGUUAAGUUUUCCUUUUCUAUUUCAGGCUCAUGCCAGCCAUCUUCCCAAAACAUGUCAGAGGCUUUUUCCCUCUAAAUUCUGGAAUAUUUUGGACAAGAUUGGGAUCCAGUUACCAGUUAUCCUUGUUGAGGAAUCAAAUCAGAGUUUCUACGAAGUUGCCUAUGGCUGCUGGAGACAGGGGAUCCUGUUAGAGAGUAAGGAGGUUGAUAACCUGUCUGAUUAUGAGUCAAGAGGAAAUGUCAAGAAACAAAAUUCAGUGUUUCCUCACUAA
rnacentral:lncRNA from 1 species